CCAAUGCUUCUAAUUUCAUAGCAAGCUCGCUUGCUGUGAAAUAGGCAACCAGUAAUAUAAGCAAGUGUGUGCUAUUUAUAGCCCUAGCCUACAAACCUAUAAUUAUAUUAACUCUAAGAGAAAUUUAAUAAUAAACGAAGUGAAUUGAAAUAUCUUAGUAACUUUAGGAAAAGAAAUCAAAAGAGAUUCUAUGAUUAGCGUGAGCUAAAAUAGACUAGCCUAAAAAGUCAAAUGGUGGAUAAACUGUUUAAAUUAAAUGGGGAACCUUCCUCAAAGGCUAAAUAUAAUGUAUAAGCGAUAGUGGAAAGUACCGUGAGGGAACCAAAACAAAAACAGUGAUUUUAUAAGCAGUUCGGGAAAAAUAAAAAAAAAGUUAGAACGUACCUUUUGCAUAAUGGGUCACCAAGUUAACAUUAGAUGCGAGUAGGAGGCUUUGGCCAUACAUACGUAGUUAAACCGAGCGUUAAAAUAACGGUAAGUAUCUAAAGUUAGACCCGAAGCCUGGUGAUUUUACCAUAAUCAGGAUUAUAAAAGUCCGAACGGAAUAUUGUAGCAUAAAUAUCCGAAGAAUUAUGGUAGGUGUAGUGAAAGACAAUACUGACCAGGAUAGCUGGUUUUCUGCGAAACCUAUAACAGUAGGCAAUUUAAGUAUAAUAUCUUAGCAGGUACAGAAUUUAAUCUCAGACAAGACAUAAGGCUUAGCUUGCUAGCAAGUAAAGCUCAUGUUUUAUUUUGUACAAAUUGGGGGAUCAUGAAGAUUUUAUCAGUGAGUAUGUAGACUCGGAAUGGCAAAGAUAUAUCUUAAAUCAUCAGACAUAGAAUGAUAAGGUUGUAUGUCAAAAGGGAAACAGCCCAGAACAAGAGUUAAGGUUCCUAAAUUAUUAGUUGAGUGAAAUUAAGAAGGUUUUUAUUAAAGUCGACAAGGAGAUAGGCUUAGAAGCAGCCAUAAUUUUAUGACCUCGUAACAGAGCGCUUGUUAAGUUUUAAAAGCAUCGAAAAUUUAUCGGAUCUAAACAAUAUACCGAAACCUUGUCCAUAUUAUUUUAUAAUUAAAUCUUAAUUAUAAUUAAAUGGGGUAGCAGAACGUUGAGCUAAAUUAAGAUUUUUAUUUUUUAAAUGAAAUUAUAAUAAUUUAACUCAAGUGAUAAUGGUGACAUGAGUAACUAAAAGAAAAAAUAAAAUUUUUCCGCCUAAAGCUUAUGGAUGUAAUUAAGUAACGGCCUCUAAGUUUAUAUUAUCUAAAGAUUUAAACGAUGAGAUAAUCUUUUGUACUAAGGACGACAUUUUAAGUGAAAAAUGUACUGGAAAAAUAGUACUAAAUUAAUGGGUAUAGCUAAUUAGUUAGCUAUAGCUAUAAAUGAAAAGUAACCGUACCUAGAAUCUGAAACAAGUAAGCUAGUAGAGAAUACGAAGGCGUAAAUGAGCUAACAAUCAUAAAGGAACUCGGCAAAUUGACUACCGUAACUUCGGGAUAAGGAGAGCUCAUUAUUCUUGAUUAAUAUCAGGUAAAGAGGAAGAAGCAUGAAAUAGUGUUGUACGACUGUUUAAUUAAAACACAGCACUUUGCUGAAAGAUUAAAAAUCUAAGUAUAGAGUGUGAUGUCUGCCCGGUGCCGGCUGGUUAACAGAUAUAAUUAAAUAUACUAAUAUUUGAUGUAGACGGAAACCCCGGUUAAAGGCGGCCUUAACGUGAGGGUCCUAAGGUAGCGAAAUGCCUUGGCCGUUAAAUGCGGUCUUGCAUGAAUGAUGUAACGAUACAACAGCUGUCUCUAUGAUUGACUCAGUGAAAUUGGAAUAGCUGUGCAGAUACAGUUUACCUCUAGUUAGACGAGAAGACCCUAUGCAGCUUUACUGUCACUAAUUAUAGAGUAUGAUAAACAAUUUUCAGAUUAUAAGGUAAUUGACGGCUAGCUUGUUCAGCAAGCUAGCUCUAUGACAAUGAGAAUCCUUUAUUUUUUUUUCAUAUGAAUGAAUUGGUUUAGGAUUAUGAGUAGGUAGCGGCUUCUGCUACUUGGCGCAAGCAUUGCUUGCGUCAGGUGUCUGAAGUAUGCAUUCCAGCUCAUGCAUAGUAAAUCAACCUAAUUCAGCUUAUUUUCCUUUCUGCCAUAAGCGCAUAAUGAUAGAUUUAACUUAAAUUUUGAUUUAUGCCAGCUGCAGAAAUAGAUAAGUACCCUUGGCUAAGGAACUAUCGCUAGGGGACAGUUUAUGUGGGGCACAGACCCUGUAAAGAGUAAACAGGAGUGUCUAAUAAUUUAUAAUUAUUUUGUUUGCGAUUUAAGAUAGUAAAACUAUUUUUAAUCAUAUAAAAUUAUUUAUAUGUACAUUCGUUGUAUAUAUAUUUAAAAAAAGGUAGGAUUUUCACUAUAUAGAAAUUAGAGAUAAUAAAAAUAUUAAGAAUAUACGUUUCAGGCUGGGAGGGGGAAGCUCCUCCCUUUGAAAGGUAGCACUAAUAUUUUUUAGCUAUUAAGACAGGCUAUCAAGCUAGGCUCUAAUAGUUAUGUAUUAAUUAUCUAAAAAGCUCAACGGCUAAAUCUUGCCUUACUGUUUGAUUAUCAACAAAUCU
rnacentral:rRNA from 5 species